rnacentral:rRNA from 1 species
AAUCAACGCUGGCGGCGUGCCUCAGACAUGCAAGUCGAACGAUUAAAGCUCUCUUCGGAGAGUGUAUAGAGUGGCGCACGGGUGAGUAACACGUAAGUAAUCUACCCUCGAGUGGGGAAUAACAACCGGAAACGGUUGCUAAUACCGCAUAAUGCAGCGGCACCGCAAGGUGACAGUUGUUAAAGAUUUAUCGCUUGAGGAGGAGCUUGCGGCAGAUUAGCUAGUUGGUAGGGUAACGGCUUACCAAGGCUACGAUCUGUAACCGGUCUAAGAGGACGGUCGGUCACACUGACACUGAAUAACGGGUCAGACUCCUACGGGAGGCAGCAGUCGGGAAUUUUGGGCAAUGGGCGAAAGCCUGACCCAGCAACGCCGCGUGAAGGAUGAAGUAUUUCGGUAUGUAAACUUCGAAAGAAUAGGAAGAUUAAUGACGGUACUAUUUAUAAGGUCCGGCUAACUACGUG